GUAUUCACGUACUAUUUUAAUAAACACAUUUGUAUCGAAGUGACCUCAGUGCAGUUUUAAAAUAAACGUGUCCGUGCAUAGUUCUCUUAGCAGCGAGUUCCAGAAUUAAUAUUGUCGAGUCUUAAGGGACUUGCACAAUGACAAACGCUGGCCAUUGUAAGGAUGGCUCCGUGCAGCAUCAGGACAACUUUUGAAUGUAUUUUACAUGAUAGCAGUCUUCACGCAGUCAGAUAAGGACUGUUGUACACUAUUCAUACAUUGUCACAGUGAACGCCGUAUGGAUUUGCUUUACCAAGCGUUAUGCAUUUGUGAAUACUGUGCGGUUAUGUGUGACAGGAGUGAAGCAGUGUACAGUGGUUUGCGCAUCGCACUCUGAAUCUGGUCUGUUCCAAUUACCAUACAAUGAUCAGUAGCGAAUUAUAUAUAAACUGGUUCUGGGUCCUUCUUUAAAACCGCAGACCAACUUGGUGACAUACAUUAUGCCUCGAUUUAAAGCUUUCGUGACUGCAGGGAUUUAUAUUCUACGUGACUUUACCGAAAGAACCAAGAAUAUACAUUAUGCCGUUAUGGCACGAGGUCGUCUUUAGCAGUAGAUUGACAAAAUGGCUGUCAAUCGGGCAGAGGUGUAGGCAGAAAUAGCCCACUCCGGCAUUGACCUGGGGUGGGCAACCUGCGGCUCUUUAAGGAUUGCUUCGUGACGUAAUUCACAUUGCAUUGCGGCUCUUGAAUUUUUCUUUGUAUACCGAAUUCGAAAAAACGACUUGUUAUUUUGGUUUCCACCCCCUGGUAUUGACAGAUAAUUCUGUGCUGUAUACUCGUGUGUGUGAUUGUGUGCUAACAAUGGCCCGUGUGAUUCAGGGGAAAGUACAACAUCAGAUUUCUUUUGAUCCAGGUACUGGCUAAUUUCAUUCCCAGACCCUUCACCGUCAUACACAGGAACCACACCAAGCAGGAGAUGCUGCACUACAUCGUGCUCUACAUAGAGCACCUGCAGAAGCACCUAGACCGCCUCCGCAGUGCUGCCGAGACGCAUGAAGCCAGCAAGACAUGCAGAACCCAGGGAGAGCUCGGGGUUCUGACCCCUGCAGACCCAUGUAGCGAGGAUGGAGGGUACAGCACGUUGCACACGGAGGAGCCCCUGCUGGAAUCGCCAAGUGAGACGUCCA